CUGUCUUCGGUCUUUGACAGCUAGCAUACGGGCUCGGCCUGUGCCACCCCUCAGCUGGCUGCUGUAGUUGUAGGCUGAAUCUUCUCAUCUCAGAAAGGAUUUGGAGAUCUAUUCUGGGGAAACCCCGUCAUAAGGUCUCAGCACAGUGAUAUUCAGGUGUGAAGAUGAGGCGGGAGCUGAGAGCAACCAGCAGCGUCUAAGCUCAUCGCUCCUGAAGAAGGCACACGUGGAUGUAAGCAGACGGUGUUCACAUCUUACUAUCUUAUAGCACUCUUCCUGUGAGGCUCCUCACAUCCCUAUAAGAAGAGCAGCAUUUCCCUUGUGUGAAAUGUACAGGUGAGCUCUACGCUUUAGUCAGCUUCCUGUUCACCGGGAGUAUCUAAAGCAGGCGUUCUCAGGCUGCGGGUCGAGACCCUCGGAGGGGUCUCAUAUCAGAGAUCCCGCACAUCAGAGAUCCCGCACAUCAGAGAUCCCGCACAUCAGAGGUCCCGCACAUCAGAGGUCCCGCACAUCAGAGGUCCCGCACAUCAGGUAUUAUGGUUGAUGCUUACCACAAUGCCAAAGGAACUGUAUUAAAGGUUGCGGCAUUAGGAAAGUUAAAAGCCACUGAAAAAAGGCAAAUGUCUGAACAAGAAUUGUUUUUCUUUGAAAACCACACAGUCCAGUAAAAUGUGACAUUCACCCAUUUCAGAUGAUUUUGACCCUGCUUGUGAAAUUUUAACCUUGACAUUAUUGUGGUACAGUACAUUCUCCUCUGCGGGCCAAUACCCACUAUAAAGAUACUCUGAAUCAAUCCAAGUAGAAUAAAACUUCCCCCAGAAAAACACACAUGCAACCCCCAGAUCCUCCUUGAAAGGAGCCAAGGGAAGAUGAAGAAUUUUGCUUCUUUCAACCAUAAAUAUUAGUUUCUUUACCCCAU
rnacentral:lncRNA from 1 species